CCCAAAGUAGGAGAGGAAGUGGAGGAUCUUGGUUUCCAAGGAAAGAAGCUAGAGAAGAGAGUAGAAAGAAGCUGUGAAUGAAAUAGAGUAAUCUACGUAUUGGAUGAGCAUUUAAACCUUGUAUCUGUGAGUGGCUGUGUCCUCACUGGGAUGUCAAAUUUUGCUACUGUGCAGCAGGAUUUCACUGGAAGGGCUGUGGGUUGGCAUGUAGAGUGUGUCACCAUCUAAAGAGUCAGGUUAUCCUCAUGACUGAGGAUGCCAAAGACACAAAUCCAGAAUCACUGAAUUGGUGUACUCCGAUCUGCCCAAUACGAGCGCAGGUGUGACUUUAAAUGUGAUUUAACUCAUUGCAUUACUUCAUUAGUUAUUUACCAUCUACAAUUGGUUAAUUCAGCACUAAACUAGCUCAAGCAGCAGCUCCUUAUGGGAUUUGCAGUUUGUAGGCUGGAGGCCUGUCUGUGUCUCAGCUGACACAAAUGAACAUGCUGUGGUCAACUGAAGAUGUGAAGACUCAUACCUAUUGUCUUGGUUGCAGUGUUAGCAACUUUCUCCUUCCUUUUAAAGUCCAAACAGAACUCAGCUCAUUUUGGAUGAUUAAAAAGGAAUUUUUUUUUUUUGUUCCCUGGUUUCUGAGUUUUCUCCUGAAAAAUGUUUUUGAUCUGAUCAAACAAUUUUGUCCUUCCAGACAGACCUUUAUUCUCAUUGCUGCAUCCAUUUCUGCCUUGAGGCAGUGAAGAGGGCUCCUGUUUGCUCUGCAUCCCUGCACAGUUUCACUAAAAUUGAAUCAUCUCCAAUGUAUCUGCUAAACCCUGGCUAAAGAUAAGAAGGUUUGAACACAGCAAGGUUUGGCUUUCUUUGUUAUGGUUGUAAAAUGUGGUUUGAAUUCUGUGCUAGAGAGAAGAGCUCUGCAUGUAGUAUUGCAUAGAUGGCAGAUAUCUGCCAUGUUCUCCCCUGCUUAAAAUACAGCCACCUAUGACACCUGUGUCAUGUCUUGUGUUCUUAGUGCACAGUAGACAAUAAAGUUUAGGAAACACAUUUUGUUAAACAGAGCAUGGUUAAGAAGGUAGAUGGUUGGGAAAAGUAAUUCUCCCUCAGAAUUAUAAGUAUUAAUUCCUAUCUUAUAGGCAGGGCCUUUUCCUGCCCUUAUUUUUUUAGGAAAAAAUCAGGCAUUUGCUUUCACAUCACAUUGCAGUUGAAAAUACAGUGUUAAAAUAGUUUUGGAUGACUGGAAAGGAUAGCCUAAUGGAAGUGGUGGAUGGGAGGGGCUGUAGAGAUAGUGAACAUGUCUGUGAUUUUUGAAAUUAAUAACCAUGGUAUAAAAGAAGUUUUGUGGUUUUAUAAUCAUGUGUUUGACACUGUCCCCAGCAGUAAGUCUCCUUUAUGUCUUUGAACAACACUCAGCAGAGACUCUUGUUGUUAUAAACUAAUUUAAUUAAAUUUCUGUUAAUUUGGUGACCUCAACUGAUACCCCAAAGACCAAGUGACUGGUUGGUCUCGGAUGACCACAAGCUGGAAUUUUGGCAUAAUGUUGCUCUCUAAUAACUUUAUGUGAUGAUUAGUGAUCUCAGAUGACCAUGAGCCAAAAUUUUGGGAUACAGCUCAUUUCUAGUAACCCCGUGUGAUAAUUUGUGAUCUCAGAUGACCCCAAGCUGUACAGGGUACAGGGGUAACUCUGUGUAAUAAUUAGUGACUUCAGAUGACCAUGAGCCAAAAUUUUGGAGUAAAGGUGACCUCUAGUAACUCCAUCUAUUAAUUGGUGGUCUCAGGUAACUCUCUGUGCUAAUUAGCAACCACAGAUGAUGCCCAUGUCCUAACUGUUGACUUCUUCUGCCCCCAGACACACAUGGUGUGCAUGUUAUUUUGGGAUUGCCAGAUUAGCUCCUAGAGGUCAGUUCCAGAUGUCCAUGCACCAAAUCUGACUCUGCAGAUCAGCCCAGGCCCAUUCUGUGCUGUAUUUCUUUCUCAGAAGACCUCUGAGGUGUCCUAUGAGCCCACAGUGUCUCUUGAACCUACUUGGGGACCAAAUGUGCUUCAGGACAUCCACUGAGAUCAUCCUGAUGCCCAAAAUGACCUUUGGGCUCUCCUGGGGCUCAAAAAUUAGGCCCUACUGUAAUUUGUCAUGCCCCACUUGACCCCUUGGGACCAUUUGAGAGUACAGAGGUAGCAGUUCUAUCCCUUGGGGCGACUCAAGGUCAGUUUCUGCUGAACUGUAACAUCCCAGCUGCUUUCAGGGGCUCUCCAGAUCAAGUGUCAGCUGGAAGGAGUUGGAGUGGGAUGAACCCACUAGAAGUUUUGCAUUACAUACUUGUCCUGGGCUCAGCUUUCAGGAAGUAUCCUCUGAGAGGAGCACAUGGAGACCCCCGUGCAUCUCCCCCUCUACUUCCCCCAACAGACAGCACCAUUUAACAAAAACAUAAUGUCAACAAUGCAAAACAGGAAGCAGCUCUGUUUUAUUUCAGGAGGGAAGGGCAAGAGGCAGCUGCUUUUCCUUAGAAAACUGUUAUGAAGUUGAUAGAAAGUCUCUUCCAUCUCUUUACAUCACAUGGAGUUUUAGCAGAGGCUGGGCCCCAGCAGGACUCUGAUGUCACCCAUCACCUCUCACCACGGUGCCCUCCUUCUCUGGGCCUCUGGAGCUCAUUGCCUGAGAUCCUUCAGCUCCCCACUUUCCACUUUAUGGUUUUGGCUACUAAAAGCCUACAGUUAAGGGCACCUUACUUAGCAGUUGCCUUUUAGGAGGAAGCUACAAAGAGAAUACACUUCUCAAUAUCCAUGCACAUUUCUGGAGGAGCAGCAACAUCUGCUUGGAGACUUUCUCUACUGUGCAAACAUAUGGCCCCCCUGUGUUUCUUAAAAACAGACACCUGUGAGUUCUUAAAAACUGGAUUAAUCUUUGCUUCAAGAAUUUGAGCUAAAUUAUCCCUUCAAUAAGAAAAAAAAAAAAAUCAAUAAAAAAACCCACCAAAACAAACAAAAAAAAAGCACAAAAACUAAAAAUCAAAACAGUGAGGGGAUUGGAUGGGGGGAAAAAAAGACCAUAAUCCAAAUUACUGCAAGAGAGGAGGGAGACUGGAUUAUAGGGAGAAAAUCAGACAAUGCCAAGCCCAAAUGUGCUGUUCCAAAUGCCCAGAACUAGCUGAAGCCACAAGAGCUCUCUUUGCACCUUUUCCCUCCUUUCUUUUGUAACCUACAUCCUGUUGGACUUACUCAGAACAUGGAGACAACAAAAUGCAGAAGCCCAAGAUGACCCAGCUUCAGUCCAGAACUCCAUAAUGAAAUACCCAGGGGAAUCAUGCGCUUGUGAAAGGAAGAAGCAAUGGAACUGAGACUGAACAUCUACCUGGUCAGCAAGAGAUCAGAAGUUAUGUUCAGCUCCCAGCAACCUACCUGUCAGCCUGGAAUGUUGCUGUAAAAUCCAUGAAGUUAUGCUGCCUUCACAGUGAAGCCUCCAGCCAGAUGGGAUUUGUAUGUGUGAGGAGUUUGUGCUGGGUGGAAAUACCUGAAAUACUGCAGUUACCUGUUUGUUGAAGAACAAGCAUCCAGAAAUAAAUGUAAUUUUGAAUUGUUCCAUUGACUGACCAACACCACACAAUGAAACAGUCCCUUUCCUGCUGGGGCUUAGCAGUGCUGUUGUUUCCAUGUGACAGAUACCAUGUGUGCUGCCAAUUAAAUGAGAAGACAAAUAUCACCUUGAACAUACAAUGUUCCCUAGUGGUUUGUAUUUAUGCAACAGAGAGAGCCAAGGAGAAGAUGUGACCCAUAUACUCUGGUUAUAGAGCUAUCAUCUAUGGAAAUUUAAUGUUUUGGUAAUCCUAGGUACUCCUUUGGGACUCUGGCCUAUGUCUGUGUUGAUAUUUCAACCUGCAGGAGCUGAGGCCUAAAACAAGUUCCUCAAAUAAAAUGCCAUAACAUUGCCAAGCCAAAGGAAAUAACAAUGGUGGAAGAUACAUGGAAAAGCAAAUACAGUGAGUUACUUGUAGGGAAGUUGUAGCUACUCAAACAUGUGAAGGGAGGAAUAUUCACUGAAGAAGCAGAGUGGAACUCUCCUCCAUUUAAAUGUAUUCGUUGACUGAAGCGGGAAUAUUCAAAGCAUAUUUUUCUCCUAUUAAGCAAGUACCAACUGCUGGAACAGAAAGAUGUGCAGGAGAGUGGAUCCAGCAGGGUCCUUCCUUUGCCAUGCUCUGAGAGCACCUCAAAGGCUGCCCUAGGCUCUAAUGUCUGGUGAACGAUCCCAGAGGAUGAGAACUGGUGAUGGCAACUCCAGCAACACAAACUCCCAUCUCCUACCCUGCCUGGAUAUGACUUCAGAGGAACUUUCCUUUGGAUGUGGGAUGCCCUUCAGAUAUAACAAGAACAUUUUGAUAUAUGGAAAAUUCAGUCAAAUUCAGUUGGUAUCUCCAACACAAAAAUAGCUGAUUCUUCUUCUCUACCAUUCCUGCAUCAGUAAAACUACUAUUGAACCUUUUGUGUUUAUUCAAAGAACAGCAAAACUUACUGGGAGCCAGAAAUUACUUAAUAAUAACAGAAUGAGUGUGACUAAGUAAAAGGCCCAAAAGAGAGCUCAGACAGCUAAAAAUACAAUUAAAGACAGAUGAUUAGAAACAAGCAAAUGAUAUUAAAAAGCAGUGAAGCAUUGUUUUUUGAGCAGAAAACCUUUCUGACAACAAUACCAGUAUAAGUUUACAAAAGCUGUUUACUACACAAAAUGAUGGAAGAAUUGAUGGAAUAGUCAAAUUUAUGGAAUCCCUAGAAAUUCAGUACAAGUCAGAAAAAUUGUUUGGUGAAAGUCCUCUAAGAAGUACAUGCCAUUCUAACUUCUGUUAGUGCUGGGUGCUGUGGGACUUCGAGUUCUGAGCAAGAUAUAAUUAGAAAGCAACAGAAGCCUCAGAAGUCGUUCCUCUUUCAGCUAUUUCUAAGGGCACCUUUAAUUGGCAAAAUUCAAAACACAAACUCCUCCAGAUAUGAGUAAUGGCACAGUCUUCAACUCUCUCAUAAAUUAUUCCAAGUUUCUCAGUGAAAUAUAAUUUUAGUCUGAGCUAGUUAUCUCCAUUUAGAAUAAUAAGAGAGCAACUUGGGUAGAUUUUGAGCUAAACCUUCUUGAGACUGGUUUGCAGUGAAAGAGAGAGAAAAGUAGCUCAGUGAAGUAAUCAGCAACAGAAAGACUUUUGGAAAGCUUCAAUAUGUUCAUAAGACUCUGAACACUGAAAAAUAUGUAUAAAUACACAUAUUGUAUUUUCUUAAACACCUCAGAAAGGAAUGAAGAACCACUUUUUGGGUUGAUGGUCUGACUGCAGUAAUGCACUGCAGCCAUGAGCAGAGAGCUGUUGUUUGUAUCUCUGUCACAUUUAAAACAGCACAUUGUUCUGACUAAACAUAAUUUGCCAAGGAUGUCUGACUCUAUCACCAGAUUCUACACAUAAUGAAAAUUUUCCAUUCUUUCAUUAGACACUAGAAUCAAAAGGAUAAGAAAACUUACUACAAAUUCCUUAUUUUCCAAAGAGCUCUCUGUUAGGUAGUUCUUAUGACUACUCAGGAUGCAGUGACUUUGAGCAAUGACUUUAUCUUAUUGUAUAUUUACAAAACAGAUUAAUUUCCUGAUGUAAAUUAAUAGUGGUGGCUUGUAUGAAGCACAAAACCUAUACUUGUAUGUUACUAUGAAACAUGCCAGCAAAGCAUUUAUUUCAUAAAGCUACAAAACACCCUGCAAGACAUUGAAUGUAAGAUGGGUUAAGGAGGAGGGAAAAGAAGCCUGUCUCUAUUAACACUGAAAUGUUGUGGAUUCAUGCCAUGACCCAUUUCACAGAGAGCUGCUCCAGAGGAAACAGGGUGUGAGACAGGUAAGGCUGGGUCAUACUCUGCUGGAAUUUAAUUAACAGACUGCUUGAUGUUUUCUAAUUAUCACAGAAUCAUAGAAUGUUUUGGAAGUUGGAAGGCGCCUUAAAGCUCAUCUCUUUCCAACCCCACUGCCAUGGGCACGGAUGCCUUCCACUAGACCAAGUUCCUCCAAGCCCCAUCCAGCCUGGCCUUGAACACUCCCAGCAAUGGAACAUCCACAGUUUCUCUGGGCAACCUGUUCCAGUGCCUGACCACCCUCACCCUAAUUAUCUGAAACAAAUCUCCACAGAAUGCACUACUGAAGGACAUGGAGCUAUUUAUGUUUUCUGUAGAAAUCCAAACCUCUAACAGCUUGAAUAAAGGUGCCCUUGGUGGAUUUAUUGACAGGAGAUGAGGUUCUUGCACAUUCAAAGCAGGCUGUGAAAUUCCUGACAGAGGAUCAGGAGCUGGCAGUGUUGCUGGGGCCAUCAGGGAAAGCUGAGGGCCACAGUUCUGCUGUGUUGCCCAUUUUUCACAACACUGUCACAGGGACCAAAAUGCAGUUCAUUUCCCAUAACUUGUUUUCCCUUCUGCCAUGGGAUAAAGCAUCUUCUGAAUGCCAUUUGUUCUAAAAAGGAUCUCAAACAAACUGAAAACAAUCACCUGUGGAAACUUCAUGCUAUCUUAGUAUAGUAUUUAAAAUAUAUUAUUUGUAGAAUUGGUGAUAUAUCCUUCAAAAGGUAAAACACCCCAAGUUUUAUGUAAGAAAAAAUAUACUGUCCUUGUUGUAGGUUUUGGCAGCAUUUUUUAUGAAAGCUCUGAAAAUCUAAAGAAUAAUAAUAAAAGAGUAAUGUUUUGAACAUUUAUUUAAUGUGCACUUCCAACUGUAUGAGCCCCACAGUAGUUCAGAAAGCACCUCUGUGUAUGGGCAUGUGGAAAGUCACAUCCUCCCAUGACUGACAUGACUCUGCCUCCUUUUUCACAGUAAGGCUUCAGAGCUUGAGGAAACACAGGCUGGGUCUCACCCAGUUUUUCCUUCCCUGAAGACCUCCCUCUGCUCUUCCUUGUUGACUGCCAUAAAUGGCUCCUACAGAAAGAAUGAGAAUUUGAUUAGAAUGCACCACACAGGCCAAGGAAUGUGAAUCAGCAUCAUUCAUCCCACUGCAGCACAGCGCCUCACAAUGAAAACCACAUGGGAAAUCUGAAAAGUGACGGUCCAGAUUAAAAGAAUUCUUGAAGCUUCAAGAAAAUUAGGCCUGAACUUUAUGUUUAAUUAAUUAGUCAAUUAUUACACAAAAAUACUGUUUUCAGCUCAAGACCUAAGUGUCUCCAAAAUAUCCAGAGUUGUUAUUUUGGUUAAGGUAUGCUUCUAAUGGCAACUUAUACAUUUUAAAGAUAACAAAAUAAUAUGACAAAUAAGAAUUUAUAAAAUAGGUGUUCAUUCUCGUUAUCCUUCUCAGUGUAAAGAGGUACAAUAUUCUGAUAUCAAGGUCAGUUCUUUGAUUCAGUGGUGUCAAGUGCCUCCAAAAUAUUGCUAAUUAGGCACAUUUAUCAACAAAAAUCAGCCAUUUGUUUUGAAUCCUUUUUAUAGUGGGUAGCUCUGGUUGCCAGCAAAAUGAGGUCAAAGUCAACAGAGAGGCAAUGAUGUCUGUAUUCCCGGCCUCCACUCAUUUAAAAGCUCAUCAUAUUUCUACUUCAUUGUGUUUAAAAUAGAAAUGAAUUUCACAAAGUAGAUUGAAAUCCAUGAGCAAUUAAAAAAAAUAAAAUUGUGAGUCAAACGCUGUUAUCACUCUGUUAGAGAACUGAACUAUCAUUGCUUCAGUAACACAGCAAAAAAUGGUCCCAUAAUUGACACUGGAUAGAUAGCUGGAAAGCAAAAUAAUGAAGUUGCCCGGGGUGAAUUUGAAGAAGUGAAGUCUUUUAACUAAAGACAAAAUAAUUGGAAAGUUUUAGCUAAGAAAUAAUGGGGAAAUGAACAGAACACUACCAUAUAAAAAGCUUGUAUAGGCUUAGAUAAAAAAAUAGAGCAAUUGAGAAGAAGACAGCAUUGGUAGUGAUUAGAAAAGACAGAAAAUUAAAGAAAAUGACAAAAUGUUAUGCAUAGAUGUUGCCUUCUUUAAAGUCUGAGUUUUCUGUGGAGUUGCAUGAAAAGAGAAGUAGAAGUUAGGGAGAAGAAAUGAGACCACAUCAUUGCAGAGGCAAUCUUCCUCUAAUGAAGAGCAAAUCCCCUGUGGAUUAAUGGUUUCCUCUGGGGCUGGGGUGCACAAUGCGCUCUGCACUGGGUUUCACCAAUUUUUCUUCUGCAUUAAGGGUAUGGAAAUUUGGCAGGAAAUAAACCCUCUUGUGCCCCAGCUGGUCCUUAGUAAUCAGAGGGGCUGGGUGUGGCUGCACUUAAUUUCUGACUGUGGCCAAUUUGGCACUGUCAGCCUGGUGGAGUUCAGUAAGGAUCUGCAUGAUCACAGAUUUACAAAUGGUUCAUUUUACCAGUCCAAUACUGUAGGUCUGGCUGAGUUCAGUGAGAGCUUGCACAAAUCCGAUGGUUUAUUCAAGCAAUGGGAAAGGAGAUUCAAGAUUACAGAACUCAGACUCAGGUAAAAAAUGCACUAAUUUGCAGAGUGUUACUGUGUAUGGAGACAGAAGUGACAGACAUAUUAGUGAUGCAUAUAUUACAUAUAUAAAUAUAAAUAUUCAAAGGUCUGCUCCAACAGGGGUGCAGGUGGACUUUCUGGCAUCCUGUCAGGACAGGAGGAGACACACAGUCCGUCAGCAGAUCCUGAGAAAGCAGAGGUGCUUCCCCCUCUCUUUUUUUGAUUCUCCUUUUUGUUUUCUUUAUCUGUCAGAACUGCAGGCAUACACCACAGCGUGCCCAAGAGCUGUGCACAUGCAUCACCAGUGUUAACAGGUCCCAGGCACUGGAAUUAGCACCAAGGCAGAGCAAGGCAGUUGGCCACAAAUGUGCCAGUGAACUGUGUGCAUAUAUUGCAGCUAAAAUCUGAUGGUUUUGAGGUGCAGCUCACCUGGGUUCAGGUGAUGGUAUUUCCCUGCAAUCUUCAGUUGAAACUACUGUCUCGAGUUGCUUAACAUUCAGAAGAAAUGGAUACAUCAGUAAUUCAGGGGGUUUUGUUUGUUUGUUUGUUUGUUUGUUUGGCAUUUUUUGGUUUGGUGUGGGGUUUUUUUUGUUGUUGUUUUGUUUUGUUUUGGGUUGGGUUUUUUUUGUUUGCUGGUUUUUGUUUGUUUUUGUUUUUAUUUUUGUUUUUUGUUUGGUUUGGUUUUUUUCCCCUGGGAAAAUUUCUGGGAUCUGUAGGUUUUAUUCACUCUGUCAUCACCAUGGUUUUGCUUCUCCCAUCUCUGUCGUGCAACCAGCUAAAUCAUUGAAACAAACUGGGUAAGAGAAACAGAAUCAUGCAAGCAAAGUAUUGCUCUGUACUCUGCAACCAUCUUGCAAACAGAUUCACACUCAAAAUACCAACUCAGUCUCAUCCAGCCUGUGAUGUGAGUGGGAUGCAAAGGUGAUUACUCUAUAAACAUGCCUUUUUCAAGAGUGAACCAUCAUCUUUAGUGACAGUAAACAGCUUCAGAGAUUCCCUGUUCUUUGCUUGCUGAGGUGCCAUUCAGCUUGGUGGGAGGAUGCACACUCCUGUGUCUGGGUACCUUCACCAGUGUGACUGACAUGGCCUGGUGCUGUGCCUCUGUCCCUUACACCUCCCCAGCAACGGUGGCACUAGUUCCCAGUUUCAUCCCUGCAGUCCUGCUAGGAUGGAUGGCUGUGCAUGCAGCGGAAAACAUCAGAGCCUGACUCCAGAGGAGCAGGGAAAAGUUCCAGAGGCUGCUUGUUUGUUACCAGGGAAGGAGAACCCCACCCCGCUGUUGCGGCCCUUGUGCUCCUCCACAAAGGCACUCUGUAAAGUGGAAGUAACAAGGGCAAUAAAGGGCAACGUUUAGAAGAGA